UACGGAGGGUGCAAGCGUUAAUCGGAUUCAUUGGGCGUAAAGGGUGCGUAGGCGGCGCGGUAAGUCGGGUGUGAAAUCUCGGAGCUUAACUCCGAAACUGCAUUCGAUACUGCCGUGCUUGAGGACUGGAGAGGAGACUGGAAUUUACGGUGUAGCGGUGAAAUGCGUAGAUAUCGUAAGGAAGACCAGUGGCGAAGGCGGGUCUCUGGACAGUUCCUGACGCUGAGGCACGAAGGCCAGGGGAGCAAACGGG
rnacentral:rRNA from 1 species